AAAAAGGAUGUGGUGACGUGUGAAGAAGAAUCCAGCCAAAGACUGUGGAACGACCAGGUACAACGUGGAACGAGCAGAUGAAGGCCUGCAUACAACCAACAGAUCCUACAACAUUGCCAAGAUCUAGAUACACGUUUUGUCAAUGUUACUGUAAUUAGGUAAGACGAAAUACUUUCCUACAAAUCAAAGAGGAUUCUCAUUUAAAACUGAAAAAAUCUACUUGGCAAACAUGCAUAGCCGUACGGAAGGAAAAUUAGGGGGGCCGGACAAAUACUUGCCCGACCCACGAAAAUUUUCCGAUUAAUACAAACAUUUUUCGACACAUCAAUUAUGCAUGCCAUUUUCACAACAUAUUACAUAUUUCUCUUUCAUCAUUUGCCCAAUUUUUCAAGUAGAUUUGCCCGGUUUUAAACUGGAGUUAUAAGGGACCGGUCAUUAUUUAUGGCGGGGGGGUGGCACCGAAGAGAAAUGUUUUUCGUGGGAAAAAUUUUGCUGACCCAACUAUUAAAAAGUCAAAACUUUGAUUACCCAACCUCAAAUAUCAAUUAAAAAAUUAAUACCCACCCCUGGCCAAAAAUUUUACAAAAGGAUACCAUUCAGUUGUCACCAUGUCCUUCACCAUUUCUGUGACACGAGUUUGAUAACGUAUUGUGAAAUGUUCUGCUGUCUAAAGUUUCAUAUUGUCUGCACAUGUAGUUUCUAAAUUGGAGACACCAUUUGUCUCCCAACAAAUCGGAAAAUGACAGACAGUUACUCUGUUUGAUUCACAUAUUGUAUUUACAUAUGCUUUUUAGUCUCCAAUAUUUCAGUGAGUCAUGCUUUGGAAAUGACAAAAAGUUUUUAUUACCCAACCCUUGAGUUGUUUUGUUCUUCAUUUACCCAACCUUUUACUCACUCAAAAUUUUGUUUACCCAACCCUUUUCUCUUCGGUGCCACACCCCGCCAAAAAUAAUGACCGCUCCCUAAGCAAAAUAAAAGCGCUAUAUUGCGACAUAUGUUAACGAUGUAGUCAUCAAUAAUUCAUGAUAAAAACAGAACGGAAACAAUCGCGUAUCUGAUAAAAAUUUCGAUUUAUUUGCAUGUAAGGAUAACAUCUUUUUGACGAUAAUCAUUAUUUAUACACACAAAAUUUGCAUAGAUGUGGUAGACAAUUUAGUGUAAUUAUUGUCUAAUGAAUAUAUUCUUUUAAUUUCAAAAAGUGAUUGGAUGUGAAGAGUCGAUGAUCCACGCUAAAAGAUGUGAAGCUGGAGAAAGCAGAAUGAAUAACACGCGGAUGAUUUAGACCCAAGAAAAGAAAGACAAUUCGCAACAAUCAGAAACCACAAAUUGCUAAUAUGAAAGUAGUGAAAUUCUUAACAAUGUAAGUUAGAGGCAAGAUACUUAGAAAUCAAAGGGGAUUCUAGCGAAUACAAUUGUUUCUUAUUUGAAAUAGGAAAAAGAAUAGACCAAAUUUCAUGGCAUAAAAUUUCGUAUGAGUUUGGCAAUAUUAUGAAUCGAAAAUAACUUUUUUGUUUUAUUUUUAAUUUUCGACAAUCCGCAGAUUUGAAAGAACUGAAAACUUAGGCCAAACAUUUCGAUAAAAUUAUUUUGAAGUGUUUACAAAAAAAAUAUACGAUUAAAUUUGACAUUAUAAAAAUGAAAAUUUUAACGUUACCAAUACCUUAAAGCAUGAGUCUUGCUUGGAAUAUUUUUUAUUGUAGUGUUUUCUGAAAGCAAAAUAAUCAGUCUAACUCAUUGUAAAAUAAACACGGAUGGGAACUUUCGAAGUUUCACAAAAGUAAUUUUUAGUGGAAGUCUCCGUUUUUCAUUGCCAAUGUCGAUAAAAAAUUCUCGUGCUUGCACCAAUCCAUGUUUAUAUUCUGUUAACUAUAUGGGUUAACCGUUAAGUUAGAAAAGUCUUGUAUUCACAAUGACAUCAACAUAUGCUAAACUGAACAAGUAAAACAAAUAAAUUAUUUCAUCAUUAAAAACAAUAUAUGCAAAUACAAAAAAUAAUAGUCAAUACCGUGUUUUAAUUGGCAUGGGUAUAUACUAUCCUAAGUGUAAAAACACUGAAGUUAUAAACUUUUUUCCGUAUUCUUAAUUCCGACGGGAAUAUACUAUCCUUUGUUUUCAAGUUUUAUUUGAGUUCACAUAAGUGCGAAAAAUACUAAAAUUAUCAAACUUUUUUCCCUAUUUUUAAUUCCCAUGGGAAUAUACUAUCCUUUGUUUUCAAGCUAAUUUGAGUUGAUACAAGUGUGAAAAACACUAAAAUUAUCAAGUAUUAUUUUUUCGUAUUUUUAAUUCCCAUGGGAAUAUACUAUGCUUUGUUUUUUACGCUGAUGUUGAUUUCAUAAUGAAACUUGACUUUAUAUUAUUGAAUCCUCUUUGAUUAAAUAUGAUAAGCGGUUUGAGUAAUCGAGAGCAGCUGCGACGUACCAUGCAAAUGAAGGUGUUCCGGUUAAAUGAGUAUGAGAAUUGCGGAUACGUUAUUUAAUUGUUUCGAUGCGUAUGCACUAUAUAGAUAAACUGUACUAUACGGUCGUCAAAAACAUGGUAAUUUCCGUUUGCAUGGAUUCAAAAUAGCUAAAGUUCAAUUAUUUCAUUAAUUGUACUGCAGUACAAUUAAUGAUUUCCCAAAACAAACAAAAUGGCGGAAAGGUAUUUUAAACACAAGUGUGAAAUGAAAUGAAAAUGCGAACAAAAGCACCAAAUUUUGGUCGAAAGUCUUGCAGGACUAAACCUGCAAGACUUUCGACCAAAAUUUGGUGCUUUUGUUCGUAUUUUCAUUUCAUUUCACACUUGUGUUUAAAAUACCUUUCCGCCAUGACAUGUUGACAUUGAGAAGUAUCCAAUUUUGUCAUGCUAAUAAUAAACAAGUAAUCAUGCGAUGUUGCUCGUACAAUUAAGCCUAGUUUCCAUUUGGUCGUUAGUUGUCGCUGGCACGACAAGCGGUAGAUGUGAAAUAGUCUAAUAUAAUAAUAUAAUAAUCCUUUUGUGUGAUUUGCAAAUCAGUGUUAAUGAUUGCAGAGUUUUUUGUUGACCCUCUAUUACAUCAGCCGCUUGUCGCGACAGCGACAACUAGCGACCAAAUGGAAACUAGGCUUUAGGGACUAAUAGUACUCGUGAUCUUUGGAAAUUCCCAAAUUGGACUCGCCCCGGCGGCUCGUCCAAUUUUGGCAAAAUCUCCAAACAUCACUCGUGGUAUUAAUCCCUAAUUGUACUCGACAUCGCAUGAUUGCCUAUACUAAUGCUCACUUUACUGCCACAUCCAUUUUUCUUUCUCAGUUGUACUUUUAAUUCUUCGAGAUUAGCCACACCCUUUUAUGUACCUUGUAUGUUUCCAACCACAUCCUCCUUACGGAUACUUAAUCUAUUAUCUAAUGGAAAUGUUCUUUUGUUUAAAAAAAGGAUGUGGUGACGUGUGAAGAAGAAUCCAGCCAAAGACUGUGGAACGACCAGGUACAACGUGGAACGAGCAGAUGAAGGCCUGCAUACAACCAACAGAUCCUACAACAUUGCCAAGAUCUAGAUACACGUUUUGUCAAUGUUACUGUAAUUAGGUAAGACGAAAUACUUUCCUACAAAUCAAAGAGGAUUCUCAUUUAAAACUGAAAAAAUCUACUUGGCAAACAUGCAUAGCCGUACGGAAGGAAAAUUAGGGGGGCCGGACAAAUACUUGCCCGACCCACGAAAAUUUUCCGAUUAAUACAAACAUUUUUCGACACAUCAAUUAUGCAUGCCAUUUUCACAACAUAUUACAUAUUUCUCUUUCAUCAUUUGCCCAAUUUUUCAAGUAGAUUUGCCCGGUUUUAAACUGGAGUUAUAAGGGACCGGUCAUUAUUUAUGGCGGGGGGGUGGCACCGAAGAGAAAUGUUUUUCGUGGGAAAAAUUUUGCUGACCCAACUAUUAAAAAGUCAAAACUUUGAUUACCCAACCUCAAAUAUCAAUUAAAAAAUUAAUACCCACCCCUGGCCAAAAAUUUUACAAAAGGAUACCAUUCAGUUGUCACCAUGUCCUUCACCAUUUCUGUGACACGAGUUUGAUAACGUAUUGUGAAAUGUUCUGCUGUCUAAAGUUUCAUAUUGUCUGCACAUGUAGUUUCUAAAUUGGAGACACCAUUUGUCUCCCAACAAAUCGGAAAAUGACAGACAGUUACUCUGUUUGAUUCACAUAUUGUAUUUACAUAUGCUUUUUAGUCUCCAAUAUUUCAGUGAGUCAUGCUUUGGAAAUGACAAAAAGUUUUUAUUACCCAACCCUUGAGUUGUUUUGUUCUUCAUUUACCCAACCUUUUACUCACUCAAAAUUUUGUUUACCCAACCCUUUUCUCUUCGGUGCCACACCCCGCCAAAAAUAAUGACCGCUCCCUAAGCAAAAUAAAAGCGCUAUAUUGCGACAUAUGUUAACGAUGUAGUCAUCAAUAAUUCAUGAUAAAAACAGAACGGAAACAAUCGCGUAUCUGAUAAAAAUUUCGAUUUAUUUGCAUGUAAGGAUAACAUCUUUUUGACGAUAAUCAUUAUUUAUACACACAAAAUUUGCAUAGAUGUGGUAGACAAUUUAGUGUAAUUAUUGUCUAAUGAAUAUAUUCUUUUAAUUUCAAAAAGUGAUUGGAUGUGAAGAGUCGAUGAUCCACGCUAAAAGAUGUGAAGCUGGAGAAAGCAGAAUGAAUAACACGCGGAUGAUUUAGACCCAAGAAAAGAAAGACAAUUCGCAACAAUCAGAAACCACAAAUUGCUAAUAUGAAAGUAGUGAAAUUCUUAACAAUGUAAGUUAGAGGCAAGAUACUUAGAAAUCAAAGGGGAUUCUAGCGAAUACAAUUGUUUCUUAUUUGAAAUAGGAAAAAGAAUAGACCAAAUUUCAUGGCAUAAAAUUUCGUAUGAGUUUGGCAAUAUUAUGAAUCGAAAAUAACUUUUUUGUUUUAUUUUUAAUUUUCGACAAUCCGCAGAUUUGAAAGAACUGAAAACUUAGGCCAAACAUUUCGAUAAAAUUAUUUUGAAGUGUUUACAAAAAAAAUAUACGAUUAAAUUUGACAUUAUAAAAAUGAAAAUUUUAACGUUACCAAUACCUUAAAGCAUGAGUCUUGCUUGGAAUAUUUUUUAUUGUAGUGUUUUCUGAAAGCAAAAUAAUCAGUCUAACUCAUUGUAAAAUAAACACGGAUGGGAACUUUCGAAGUUUCACAAAAGUAAUUUUUAGUGGAAGUCUCCGUUUUUCAUUGCCAAUGUCGAUAAAAAAUUCUCGUGCUUGCACCAAUCCAUGUUUAUAUUCUGUUAACUAUAUGGGUUAACCGUUAAGUUAGAAAAGUCUUGUAUUCACAAUGACAUCAACAUAUGCUAAACUGAA
rnacentral:lncRNA from 1 species